rfam:Mycoplasma capricolum mcs5 gene, MCS5 RNA.
GAGAUUUUAUUGGUCAAUCGCUGUAUUUGAAAAAGAAUAUAGAGGAAACUCCACGCUUACACAAUCUGUGAUGAUUGUAGUGUUUAUGCUAAAUGAAAAAAUAAAUUUAGGCAGUAAUUAAUUACUGACGGCAUAACUAACCUAAGGCUUUGCUAUGGUGAUGUUAUAAAGUGCCACAGAGACGAAUAAAGAGAAAUCUUGAAAUGGAACGCGGUAAACCCCAUAAGUAAGAAACUCAAAUUUUGGUAGAGGAAUCUGAUUAAGAAAAUAAGAAUCAAAAUCAGAAGUUAUUAUUAACUAGAUAGAUGAUUGACGCUGAAAAGUACAAAACGUGGGUUAUAAAUAAAAUCUCAUCA